rnacentral:rRNA from 1 species
AGAGUUUGAUCCUGGCUCAGAACGAACGUUGGCGGCGUGGAUUAGGCAUGCAAGUCGUGGGAAUCCCAGCAAUGGGGGAACCGGCGUAAGGGGCAGUAAGGCAUAGGUACCUACCCUCGGGUUCGGGAUAGCUCUUGGAGACAAGAGGUAAUACCGGAUGAUGUCGUGAGACCAAAGGUCCGCCGCCCGGGGAGGGGCCUAUGUGAUAUUAGCUAGUUGGUGAGGUAACGGCUCACCAAGGCGAAGAUGUCUAGCGGGUGUGAGAGCACGACCCGCGCCACUGGCACUGAGACACUGGCCAGACACCUACGGGUGGCUGCAGUCGAGGAUCUUCGGCAAUGGGCGCAAGCCUGACCGAGCGACGCCGCGUGGGCGACGAAGGCCUUCGGGUUGUAAAGCCCUGUCGAGGGGGAGAAAAGCGAAAGCUUGAUCUAUCCCUGGAGGAAGCACGGGCUAAGUUCGUGCCAGCCGCCGCGGUAAUUC